rnacentral:rRNA from 1 species
GACGAACGCUGGCGGCGUGCUUAACACAUGCAAGUCGAACGGUAAGGCCCUUCGGGGUACACGAGUGGCGAACGGGUGAGUAACACGUGGGUGAUCUGCCCUGCACUUCGGGAUAAGCCUGGGAAACUGGGUCUAAUACCGGAUAGGACCACUGCCUGCAUGGGUGGUGGUGGAAAGCUUUUGCGGUGUGGGAUGGGCCCGCGGCCUAUCAGCUUGUUGGUGGGGUGAUGGCCUAACAAGGCGACGACGGGUAGCCGGCCUGAGAGGGUGACCGGCGACACGGGGAAUGGGAUACGGCGCAGACUCCUACGGGAGGCAGCAGUGGGGAAUAUUGCACAAUGGGCGAAAGCCUGAUGCGGCGACGCCGCGUGAGGGAUGACGGCCUUCGGGUUGUAAACCUCUUUCAGCACCGACGAAGCGCAAGUGACGGUAGGUGCAGAAGAAGGACCGGCCAACUACGUGCCAGCAGCCGCCGUAA